rnacentral:misc_RNA from 1 species
AUCAUACCCUCCAUAAUAGUACGCAGGCGAUGGGUAGCCAUUAGGAGAAUAGUACGCGUUUUGGUGUACGUGAAGAGGGAUCAUAGACCGACUUAAUGGCUUUGCUGUAUUAGUAGCCAAGUCCCCCGAUCCCUAUUUACUAGUAGAAAACUUUAGCUUCAGGAAUUUCAGCAGUCAUAGUCUGAGAAUCUAAUGGCAAGUUCUCCAACACAUCUGCAACCUGAUCAGAAGGAGAAGCAACAGCUGCCAUGCUGAUAAUGAUGAUGAGAUUGAUAGAGAAAGAAAGAGAAAUCGUAGAAUUUAAAGCCGGGAGAGAAUUUAAGAGAUGGGGAUUUUCGGGGAAAG